CCCUUAGAUGUUCUGGGCUGCACGCGUGCUACACUGAUUAUUUCAACAAGUGUUUUAACUGGAGAGUUCGCGUAAUCCUGAAAUGUUAUCGUGAUGGGAGUAGAGUAUUGUAUUUGUUAAUCUUUAACGAGGAAUUCCUAGUAAGUGUAGGUUUAUAAGUUGUUCUGAUUACGUCCCUGCCCUUUGUACACACCGCCCGUCGCUCCUACCGAUUGAUUGAUCCGGUGCAUUACAUAGUAUUUUGCGUUUUACAUGACGGAAGACGAAGCGUUUUAAACCUUAUCAUUUAGAGGAAGGAGAAGUCGUAACA
rnacentral:rRNA from 1 species